rnacentral:rRNA from 1 species
GACGAACGCUGGCGGCGUGCUUAACACAUGCAAGUCGAGCGGUAAGGCCCUUUCGGGGGUACACGAGCGGCGAACGGGUGAGUAACACGUGGGUGACCUGCCCUCAGCUCUGGGAUAAGCCUGGGAAACCGGGUCUAGUACCGGAUAUGACUCCAUGACGCAUGUUGUGGGGUGGAAAGCCUUGUGCGGCUGAGGAUGGGCCCGCGGCCUAUCAGCUUGUUGGUGGGGUGAUGGCCUACCAAGGCUUCGAUCGGUAGCCGGCCUGAGAGGGCGGACGGCCACACUGGGACUGAGACACGGCCCAGACUCCUACGGGAGGCAGCAGUGGGGAAUUUUUCGCAAUGGGGGAAACCCUGACGAAGCAACGCCGCGUGGAGGAUGAAGGCCUUCGGUCGU